GAACAGCAACCUUUUUUUUCUUGAGAACAGCACGAAGGUUUUUUCGAUGAACAACAGCUUUUCUUUUCUUGAGAGCAGCAAGAAGGUUUUUCUGAUGGACUAGAAUCCUUCUUGGAACAGCAUGAAGAACCCUCGUUGACGGAUUUCAACUCGGCAUGCUCUGUCCAUAAACUUUUGCCUGUACAAGCACAAAUUUGCUUGGUAUUUUGACCCAAACCAGCGCUACGGGAAAUAAUUCCCAUAGUGGCGGAAUCAGAAUCGUCGACACAUUUAAGAACGAAACAGUGACCAAUCCAAUUUGGUAAGGAUCCAGAAACCUCUUUGUCGAGAACAAUUUUUCCUUGCUCAUUGGAGUUUGCAUUAAAAAGGGUAACAAGGCUAUCGCCAGCGGAUUUGAGUCCACGGGAAAUGUCUCCUGAGAUAGUGACUAAUCCUGUAUACUCUCUAUUUGGUAGGAGUUGAGUAGCAAUCAAAUCGAGGAAAAUUUUCUCCUCGGUGGGAAUAAAACGGCAAAGUCCGUAAACUUUGGGAAUCUGGGUUAUAUCUUCAUUGGCUUCAUAAAGAAUGGAAACGCCCGAUUCUUUGUUACUAGCACCACGAAUGAGAAUGGGCUUCGAAGUGGCAUUUUCCAAGCGCCGAAGGACUUUUGAAGGAGAGACUGAAAAUCUACGUUAGCUAAGAGUAAAAUGAGAAAAAUAGGAAGUAAAAGAGGAAGUCAAACAAUUUACUUUCAAUUUUAUGAACUAAUGUAAAGCAGGAUGAACUCACAAAUCUCUCUUUUCUUCCUCAUUUCUUAUUGGUUUUAUCACUUACCAGAACCCUUCACAAUUAAUUGACCAGUUGCAGCAUCCCAUUUCCAAUCUUCAAUGUUUAAAUCUUGGAAUUCCUGCUCGAGGGUAUUCUUAUUUACGUCGUCACAAUCCUUAAUGAGAUAUUCAACCUAAAAAUUUUAUUAGCACUCUUUGAACCAAAUUUUCAAACAAAUGCCAUACUUCAAACAUGUUGAAAACAAAAAGAAGCCGAAAGCAAAAUAAGCCUUUAAUAUGAUAUUAUUGAUGUUGGCAAAUGGCAACUUCUACGGAACUGCGUAAGGUGGUGAGAUUUACUUUAGAAUGGAAGGCAAACUCAGUAUGAAGAUUAGUCAGAAGGAAAGUUAAUGGUAUAUUGAAUUGAAAAAUGCAAAAUAUGAACGUCAAUUUUUAAAGAAUAUCAUUGAUUUUAUUAGAAAUGACAAUGAAUGUUGGAUUUUUCUAUUUAUUAUUAUUUAUUUUUUUAAAUUUUUUUGGAAGAUUUGUUUUUUAUUCCAAGCGAGUUAAAUGGCUUUUCUUUCUGUUGGUUUAUAAAUGAACAUAGAGAUUGUAUUAUUAUUUAUUUUUCAUUAAUUUUUUAAAGACCAUUUAGCUGUAAUUGUUAGUGUACAACUCCUUCGUUUGAUUUAAAAAAAUAAAAUAAAUGCUAUGGGCG